rnacentral:rRNA from 1 species
CGGGGGAUCUUCGGACCUCGCGCUAUAAAAUGAGCCUAUGUCGGAUUACCUUGUUGGUGGGGUAAUGGCCUACCAAGGCAAGGAUCCGUACCUGGUCUGAAAGGACAAUCACCCACACUGGRACUGAAACACGGCCCAAACUCCUACGGGAGGCACCAUUGGGGAAUCUUGAACAAUGGGGGGAACCUUGAUCCAGCAAUGUCGCGUGUGUGAAAAAGGCCUUCGGGUUGUAAASCACUUUCACCGGGGAAAAAAUUCUCAAGGGUAAUAUCCUUGACCAUUGACGUUACCUACAAAAAAACCACUGGCUAACUCUGUGCCACCACCCGCGGUAAUACAAAAAGUGCAACCGUUAAUCGAAAUCACUGGGCGUAAAGCCCGCGUAGGUGGAUAUUUAAUUCGAAUGUGAAACCCCUGGGCUUAACCUGGAAAUUGCACCCAAUACUGGAUAUCUCAAUUAUGGUAAAGGGAAUUGAAAUUUCCGGUGUAUUGGUGAAAUGCGUAAAUAUCGGAAAAAACACCAUUGGCAAAGGCGGCUUCCUGGACCAAUACUGACACUGAGGCGCAAAAGCGUGGGGAGCAAACAGGAUUAAAUACCCUGGUAUUUUACGCCA